UCGCAAUGGACGAAAGUCUAGACGGAGCAACGCCGCGUGAGUGACGAAGGCCUUCGGGUCGUAAAGCUCUGUUGUUAGGGAAGAACAAGUACCGUUCGAAUAGGGCGGUACCUUGACGGUACCUAACCAGAAAGCCACGGCUAACUACGUGCCAGCAGCCGCGGUAAUACAUAGGUGGCAAGCGUUGUCCGGAAUUAUUGGGCGUAAAGCGCGCGCAGGCGGUCUUUUAAGUCUGAUGUGAAAGCCCACGGCUCAACCGUGGAGGGUCAUUGGAAACUGGAGGACUUGAGUGCAGAAGAGGAGAGUGGAAUUCCACGUGUAGCGGUGAAAUGCGUAGAUAUGUGGAGGAACACCAGUGGCGAAGGCGGCUCUCUGGUCUGUAACUGACGCUGAGGCGCGAAAGCGUGGGGAGCAAACAGGAUUAGAUACCCUGGUAGUCCACGCCGUAAACGAUGAGUGCUAGGUGUUGGGGGGUUCCACCCUCAGUGCUGAAGUUAACACAUUAAGCACUCCGCCUGGGGAGUACGACCGCAAGGUUGAAACUCAAAGGAAUUGACGGGGGCCCGCACAAGCAGUGGAGCAUGUGGUUUAAUUCGAAGCAACGCGAAGAACCUUACCAGGUCUUGACAUCCUCUGACAAUCCUGGAGACAGGACGUUCCCCUUCGGGGGACAGAGUGACAGGUGGUGCAUGGUUGUCGUCAGCUCGUGUCGUGAGAUGUUGGGUUAAGUCCCGCAACGAGCGCAACCCUUGAUCUUAGUUGCCAGCAUUUAGUUGGGCACUCUAAGGUGACUGCCGGUGACAAACCGGAGGAAGGUGGGGAUGACGUCAAAUCAUCAUGCCCCUUAUGACCUGGGCUA
rnacentral:rRNA from 1 species